UACGGGGGGGGCAAGCGUUGUUCGGAAUUACUGGGCGUAAAGCGUGCGCAGGCGGUUUUGUAAGUCUGUCGUGAAAGCCCCGGGCUCAACCUGGGAAUUGCGAUGGAGACUGCAAGGCUUGAAUCUGGCAGAGGGGGAUAGAAUUCCACGUGUAGCAGUGAAAUGCGUAGAGAUGUGGAGGAACACCGAUGGCGAAGGCAGCCCCCUGGGUCAAGAUUGACGCUCAUGCACGAAAGCGUGGGGAGCAAACAGG
rnacentral:rRNA from 1 species